GCAAGAACGCACUCACCGUCAAGAAGUGGUGAUAAGAGACAACAGAAGAGAAUCGAACAGUCAGCAAGUCAACAGUUUUCAUUCGCAGAUUUCAGACGCCCAAGCCUUUCUCUGUUUGAAGAGUAGCCAUGAUGAAGCAUUCUCCCCGUGUGAUGUGUGGACUGCUGGUCCUGCUGCUGACGGCGCUGACGGAGGCCAGACACAGUAGCUGCAGGCAGCCAUCCAACCAGGAGCUGGCACAGUACCUGUCGGGAGGUUCCAGCCUCCCGGAGAGUUUUUAUCAGUUCCCGCAACUCCGCCAGACCGUCAGGACCUACAACACGUCCAGCGAUGGCUACCGGGCCAGACUGAGCACUUUCUAUGAUGAGGGGAAGAACUGCUCUGAUGAAAAGUUCAAGGACCCAUGUCCCUGUCACCUGGAUGUUCAACUACAACUCUGACCGCUUCCCGGACACCCUUGUGGAGGCCAAGUGCAAGCCGUGCGAGCGGGGUAAUAUCAUCUGCAGCCCUGUCUACUACUACACCAAGGUCAUGAGGAAAGGCAGCUGUAACAAUAACACUGGGGUGUACAACUAUGAACAGGUUUGCAACGACAGUCUUGAUUACGUACUUACUAUUUGUGGGAAGAUGAUGUGGUGUGUGCUAUAUAUAAGAGAGCUAAAGGUAGUUCCAUGCUACCAUGACUUCACUGUCGGUGACUGUAGUUUAGCUCAGGGCAAGCAUUUAUAUGGAGGUAUCCUCCUCACCCUUGCUGUCUUACCUUUCCUAGCGUGCUGAGGGGGUCAGGCACACGCAUAACAGUGGGUUCAACUGGGAAAAAGACUUUAGAAUAGAACAACCAAAGCUUCUGUGAGGCCCGUGCCUUAAUAACUAUCCAUUUUUUUUUUUAUUUUUGGAAGAAAUUCGAACAAGAGGAGGCUUGGAGGGAGGGUAGUAAUCUCACACACACACACGCGCGCGCACAACCACUGUGGAACCAUUCUACGGUCUGUAUAUACAUCUACCUAUCCACCUGGAUGUGUACACUGCUUUUUAAAGAAAAGUCCCUUCUGACGAUUGAAGUGGACUUAAGAGCCUCUAACUAGUGUCGCCCUUAACCUCACCUUGUUGUCUGUUGCAGGUGUGGGAGCCAAUUACCGUGGGGUGCGCUUCGAGGGGGGCGAACAAUCGCUUGGUGGCCAGUAACGGCAGGGCAGUUCCGCCUAACAAAAAGUAAUGUAUGGAGAAUCCGACGAAGAAGUCACUGGUUGUAUAGUCAGUAGUCUGUUCUCAUUUUCGUGGGAAACGACAGCUUUUAACUGUGCUGGGACUGACCACAACAUCUGUUGACUCAAACGUCAUCACGAAAGACAGACGGAGCUUCUACUGUCUGUAGAGUGACCGGGAACCUGGUUCGAAUCUGAUGUGGAAAUCGAUUUAUGCUUCCUAUUCAACUGCCUUGUUACACAAGGCAUUUAGUCUGUUUAUAAAGCAAUGCAAACACGGUUAACCAUAUAGGUAUAUAUAUAUGUCGUAUGCCAUAUUGGCAGUUCACGGACUUAUCAGUAUAUUGAAGUAAUGGUUAGAAGUCACAAAUAUAAUGUUUUGUAUUAUAACAAGUCCCGGUUUAUUAAGAAAAUAAAGAAAACUGAUGAGUAAACAUUUACUAUAUUAUCUCGUGUAUUUGAUAAGUAGAAAGAGGACAAGAAUAUCGCCAACUCGGCUGUAGAUAAAGCUGCUAGCAUAUUCGUGUGUAUUUUGGUUACUGUCCGCUUUAUUAUGUUACACACACAUAUAUAUAUAUCAUUAAGUAUCGCCUUAAGACUUCAAAGGAUCCAGAAUACUGCUGAUCGCCUCAUUUGCAGACCAUCUAGAUAUAAACAUGCAUCACCUAUCAUUCGCUCUGUUCACUGGCUGCCAGACGUGGACCAUAUAGCCUACAAACUUUCCACUUUGACUUACUCAGCCGUUGUUUUUGGCACUGGCCCUUGGUAUCUCUCUUGAACUCACUCCCAUCUAUACACCAGCAUGGCCUCCUCGCUCAUCUUUUGACACCAAGCUUCUGCGAGGCCAACUAAUACAAAGAAGCAUGGACCGAUGCCCUUCUCCUACAAAGUCCCAUCAACUUGGAACCCGUCAACCUGCGACACUUUGAUUCUAUUACUUUUAAGUCCAUAUUUAAGACAUAUUUUCAGAACGACGCCUUCAAUGUGACUUUGUCCUGACUAUGAGCGUGCAUAAUGUGUCUGUAAUUGACUUUGUGUAUGAGUGAGUUUAUGUUGUAGAAGUAAGGUGUGUCUGUAUGUAUGACUUAAGUAAAACCCUCUGAGCAAAUAUUUGGGAAAAUGUUAUAUAAAUCGCCAUCAUCAUUAUUAUAAACAUAUAUAUACACGCAUGCAUUCUUACAGCUGCAACUA